rnacentral:rRNA from 1 species
UACGGAGGGUGCGAGCGUUGUCCGGAAUCACUGGGCGUAAAGGGCGCGUAGGCGGCCUGAUAAGUCGGGGGUGAAAUCUCGAGGCUCAACUUCGAGCUGUCGGUGGAAACUGUCUGGCUAGAGUCCGGAAGAGGAGAAUGGAAUUCCUGGUGUAGCGGUGAAAUGCGCAGAUAUCAGGAAGAACACCAGUGGCGAAGGCGGCUUUCUGGUCUGUAACUGACGCUGAGGCGCGAAAGCGUGGGGAGCAAACAGG